UGCCUGUAUGGUCCCUGAUUUCCCGACCACCAGCUGCUGGCUUGUCUAACCCUCCCCCACCAGACCCCACCCCAAGAGAUAUGGCUUCCGGUGCAAGGGCCCCCAGAGGCUGGCUGGAAUGAGCCUGCCGCUGGGAAAGACUGGAACGAGACAACCCACCAGCAGCCCGGCCGGGGCUCCGGCAGGGGCGGGGAAGAGGAAACGUGGCUCCCACUGCCUGCUCCCCAGUGAUGGAAGAAGACUGCCUGAUGGGAGCUUCUUGGGCUGAGCAAGGUUUCCGGAAGCCCGGGCAAGGUCAGGGGUCACCUGCUGACGAACAGAACCCGGACAGAGACCCGAGUCACUACAGUCCAGGACAAGCUUAAGGGCAAGGCAGGGCUGGGUGAGAUGGGUCUCAAAGUGACUCUCAGCCAGAAGUCUCUAAUCAAAACAGACAUGGGGCAAUGGGAAGGCUGCCCCCGCUUCACUGCAUCCCAACCCCAAGAGGUUUUUAUUAGCAGCUAGCACCACCCCACGCCUGGCACCAUGCCACCUGCCUGGGUGCUCACAGCUUCAGAGGCCAGGAAGCCUGGUUGAAAGUCCCAUUGAACUCGCCAGCUAUCCGCCAGCUUCCCAUACAACACCCCGGAAAACUGCCCCCAUCCCGACGCCCCCACCUCCACGCCAGGAUAAAGAUGUACUUCUCGCUCUCUGCCCCCUUGAUGCGCACGCGGCUGCCGAACGUGUCGGUCUCCACGAUGAGCUUGGCUGGGGUGUGGGAGAAAGAGCUACGUCUGCCCAUCUGGCCCUUCGUCAUCUGGCAGGGCCGCCGGCCAGCCUGGCCAUCCCAGGCAGCUCCUUGCUUGUGGCCUGAAGCAGCAGCAGAGGAUGGC